rnacentral:rRNA from 1 species
UACGUAGGGGGCAAGCGUUGUCCGGAAUCAUUGGGCGUAAAGCGCGUGUAGGCGGUUCGGUAAGUCUGCUGUGAAAGUCCAGGGCUCAACCCUGGGAUGCCGGUGGAUACUGUCGGACUAGAGUACGGAAGAGGCGAGUGGAAUUCCUGGUGUAGCGGUGAAGUGCGCAGAUAUCAGGAGGAACACCAAUUGCGAAGGCAGCUCGCUGGGACGUUACUGACGCUGAGACGCGAAAGCGUGGGGAGCAAACAGG